rnacentral:lncRNA from 1 species
CAAAACAAACCCACUAAGAUGGCUUCCUUUGUAUCCUUCCUAGUGCUGCUUCUUGCAGCCCUUAUCCUCAUGCCUCAAGGGCUUGCUACUUACUACAAACCAAUUAAGAAGCCACCAGUGUACAAGCCUCCAGUGUACAAGCCACCAGUGUACAAACCACCGGUUUAUAAGCCAAAACCACCGGUUUACAAGCCGAAACCACCGGUUUACAAGCCACCAUAUAAGAAGCCACCAUACAAGAAACCACCUUAUGGAAAGUACCCUCCAGUAGAGGACAACACCCAUGCCUAAAGCAAGCAAUGAGGUCUAUUAUCUACUUAAUAAAUAAGAGGAACUGCUUUGUGUUUUCUAGCAUUGUGACUUACAACUUCGUAGCAAUGCAUAUUCUUGACUCUUGCAUGCACUUCAAUCCUUCGUAGCAUUAAUGAUGUGGCCAAGUCAUCAUGAGCAUCAUACUUAUUUCUUUGUGAAUGUAAAUCAAAAUUAUAAGAGAGAAAAUGGUGCUUUUGUACUACAGAUUACUAUAAAUAAAAAACUUUUAUGGUUUUCAGAUUGUGCUGGUUGAUUGAUUUGCUCUACCAUUAAUUAUGACGAAACGUAGUUUUUUUUUUUCUCUUUUUUAAUCCGUAAAAAUAAAAAAAAUAAAAAAAUAAAUUUAUAAUAAUUCACACUUUAUUUAAUUAAUCGAAAUAAAUUCCAUAAUAGAUGAUACAUAGUUUGACAUACUAUUGUUAAGCUUAAGAUUAAAGAUCGACCCUAUGUUGCAACUAAACUUUCUACAAUCAAUUUUAUAAAUUGGAUUGGUGCAUGUAAGUCUAGCUAGCUAGAGGCAGAAGAACAGUACUAGAGUAGUAGAUGGAAGCCACUCUCCACGCACCUCAAAUAACUCGCAAUUAAACUUGAGCAUAACAUCAAUAGCGACUUAAGUUAAUUUCAAUUAUGGGCUCUAUUUGAACAAAUUUCUCUAUAAAUAUUUCCAGAAGAAAAUAUUAAGAAAACAAUAAAUUGAACUUCUCAUUUAAGUUAAAAUAAACAUAUUUGUAUAUUUUUUAUAUAAAAACUCUCAUUUAACUUCUCUUAAAAAUAUUGAAGUAUAUAAAUUAAUUUUAGCUUAUGAAAAAAAAAAUCAACUUAUUUUAAUUUUCUAUUCUUAAAAAGCCAUAGUUAUAGUUAAUGUGUACAAAGACCAGUUCCUACGAGAGUUGCUGUAUCCUCCUAAACCAAAUAUCCGAAUACUCCUACUCAGUAAGAAUAUUUUGAUAUCUGUUAAUAAUUUUAUAAUAAAUUAUUUAUUUAAUUUGACAUUUUAAUAUUUAAUUUCUUUCCAAGUUUACCCCUUUUCCAUAUGACCAGUCAACUUAUCCUCUUCAUUCGACUUUAAAAAGAGUGGGUGGUGGUGCGGUGAAGCUGAAAACCACACACAAUGAUGGUGGUGGAGAAUGUGAAAAUGGUUGUGGUCGGAGAAGGAGGUACAAGGGACAAAGUUAACUGAGGAAAAAAAAAACUCAGCGUGAGAGAGGGUCUUUUGAAAAAAAGGACAAAUUUGGAAAGGAGAAAAAAAGUUAAAAAGUGUGUUAACAAGUGUGAAUGCUUAGGUGAUUCAGUUACUUUUUCGCCACAUAUGAUCGGAGGAAUAAACAUUUCUCUUUUUCAUAUUACUAUUUUUGUAUGUUUGUCUACACGUACAUGUGGACGGUUAUUUGUAUCAAGUAUCAACUACAUAUGGGUGUCAAAAUUUAAAACUGAACCGAAUUUAAUGAAUUGAUUCAACAACUCUAAUAUAUAUGUGAUGUGAUUUGAAUUUUAAUAAUUUGCGUACGAUUUUAAUUUAAUUUUGAACCUACUUCAGUACAAAAAUUUACGUAUAAUCUUACUACAAGUACUUAAGUCACCACAAUCAUCUACACUCACAUCUUGAAAAAGUGACAUUGAUAGCAAAUUCAUGAAGUACUCACAGCUAACGUCAUUUGAUGGUUGAAUGAACCCCUCAGCUACCCAUAGCUGAAUGAGUGUUCUCUUAUCAAACUCAAAACCUUUUGGAAACAAUGAACAAUAAGCAAAACAGUUUUCCAAAAAUGAAGGAAGAUGGUCAAAACUCAGUUUAAGGAUUGCAAAGAUUUUGUCCUUCUCUUGAUCUAUCUUUGAAAACCCAACUUCCUUAGAGGCUAUUACUAUGCGCACCCAGCAUAAUUACUGGUACAUCCAGCAUAACAGCAUAAUUCCCGUUUUGUCCUUUCCUAAAAUUGAUACAAAUUGUCAAUUCAUAUAAGAUUUACGGAUUGUCCAAUCUGUAAGUAGCCCAAAUAUUUUUUUAAUUUUUUUUUUAAAAAAAUAUGUUUUAUGAAUUAAUUUAAAAUUAAUGAUUCAUGCAAGAAUCAAACUUAUAACUUUCACGUUAUUAACACGACAUUCUAACCAAUCUCAAUAUUCUUGUCAACCCUUUUAAGUUAUUUUCUUUAUGUUAGUUUUUAACCGAUGUUGAAAGUGCCGAUGUUGAAUGUAUUAUCGUUAACAUCGGUUUUAAAAAAACUGAUGUUAACGUUAAUUUUACAACAUCGUUUAUUUAAAUAACCAAUGUUGAUAAUAAGAAUUACACCCAAAAAAAUGUAUUAAUGUUGAUAGUUAACAUCGGUUUUUUGGAAAAAUCGAUGUUAACGUAACUUAACAUCGGUUUUUUUAUAUAAAAUUGAUGUUAACGUAUGUGUUAAUGUUGACAGUUAACAUCGGUUUUUUGGAAAAACCAAUGUUAACGUAACUUAACAUCGGUUUUUUUACAGAAAACCGAUGUUAACGUAUGUGUUAAUGUUGACAGUUAACAUCGAUUUUCUGUAAAAAAAAAGAAAACCGAUUUUAACGUACGUUAACAUCAGUUUUUUCCAAAAACCCGAUGUUAACGUAUGUGUUAAUGUUGACAAUUAACAUCGGUUUUUCCAAAUAAUCGAUGUUGUUUUCAGGAUUUUUUUUUAAAUAUUCUCUCUGUUUUUACAAAAAAAACCAAAAUUUAACCUGUAAAUUUAAAAUUAGACCACACAGCAUAUAUGAUUUGCAUUUUGCUUUCAAAUAGGUUUUAGCAGAAAACUAGCUAGUAAACUAUUAAAAUGAAACAUCAAUUGUAAAAAAUGUAAUGCAAAGUACGGUAAACUAAUUAAGUAACCUAAAGUUACAUAGUUCCCUAACAUCCUAUGUUUGAUUUCUAACUUUUAGAUAAUAUUGUGCCCACUGCAUGUGAAGCGCCUUGAAUCUCUCUGCUUCCAAUGAUCUAACAUCAUUAAAAUACUGGAUGAUCAAAUAAAAGAUAAAUUAAUGAUGUAAUAACAAUGAUAAGAAAAUCAACUUUGUUUGAAAUAAACAAUUACCGUUUCUCAAUUAUUCCUGAAAGUUCCUGAGAUUAUCGUGGACAUCUAGUGCAUGACGUAAUAGCUGUACUCAGUGUUUCGUUUUUGUCUAUUACACUAAAUACAUAAUGAAAUUUGGAUAUUAAUUAAGCGUUAACUACAAUUAGUGUACACACACAUAAGCAGUAUAUAUAAUUAGAAGUUUAAUUUAAAUCACGUACCUUAACAACAAUCCACCUAGCCGCAGCCUUGGAUUUAGGUUGUGGAGUAUCAUCAAGUCCUUUCAAAGCACUAUUGAAUACGAGGAACAUUAAAAUAUUGAUGUUGUUGAGUUAUGCUAAUGCAAAUAUAUUGAAAACAACAUUGACCUGUUAAUUAUUCCCUUAAGGUAGUUGUCUGGCCUGUUAUGUAAAGAACAAAACCAGACAACUAGGUUUUCCUUAGGCAAAAUGACGACCAUUUGCCAGUGUCCGCUGCAGUGGAGACGAAUAUGGGCUAUUGUAAUAGUAUAGAUUAUUUAAAUUCAGUUGUUGUGUUUGACUUACCAAUUCAGGUAAGCUCCAAGGUAAACAUCGCGUUUUGAACCCUGCAUCCAACUCUUGAUGUAACUUUUCGAUUCAAAUUGUGAUUGCCCAAAUCUCUGAAUGGACUGUGGCUCGAGAAAUCCAUACACAUCGGAAUUCCCCGCUCACAUACUUGUCUCAGUCAGAUGCCUGUGUUGUUAAGACAAAGUUAAUUAUGUAUGAAUUUAAAACAAUUACUUUGUUAAUUAACAGUAAUCUAAAUUGACUUACAAAAUUCACAACUGUAUAACAGAGAUGCUGAGACAUUGACCACCGUGUGCUAUUUCAUACAGAUCUUCAUGCUUUAUGUACAAGGGAAAGUCUGAAUUAAACAGCCCGAACAGGGAAGCAUCCCACAUAACCUUGAGAGGCUUCAAAAACAAUUGUGGGAUGGUCAAUGUCAUCAGAUGCAGAGGAUCAUCGACCUCACGAUCCGGGCUUUUUGGAGGUUUUGCUAGAGACACAACUGCCUGUUAAUCAAACAUAGUUAAUUAACAAGUUUUGAUUACAGUGAACAAAUCAAUUGAAAAAAAGAAACAUAUAAUCAGAGUAAAAUACCUGUUCUGAUAAACGUUUCACGAGAUGUAUCGGCCAAGCAAGGAAGGUGUUAAGUGUCUGCCCCACUAAGGUAACCUUGUCAAUGGGUACAGGAACGGGAGUCUCUGCAUCUUUAACCUCCUCAACACCAACCUUCACUUGGCCAUGCAACAAAGGGAUGUUAUGAACCACUGUGGAUCCCUCAUAAAGUCUUCCUAGGGCAACCAAGUAGGAAGGAUUUUCUUCAAUUUACAGCCCGCAUUUGUCUGAGUCAUCCGUCUCUGGAUCGUUCCCUGAGGAAUCAACACAACUCUUCUUUGUGCUGACACGAGCACUUGAGGGACCAACCUUUGGCUCCGGAGGCAGUGUAAAUCCCUGUGAUUGCAUCUGAGACUGAAACUGGGACUGCAUUUGGCUGAAGGAUGCCAUCACCUGCUGAGUAACUUUUUCUGUGAUCGACUCCUCCAGCUAGUCCCUGAUUUGUUGGGUUAACUGUUGUAGGUCUUCAGGAGGCAUAGAGGAAGAACUACGGGACAUUCGUGUAGCCAAUCCGAAAUAUUGCUUUAUGGUCACAUCAGCUCCAGCAGCACGGACACGGCCAGGGUGCUCUGAUCGCCCAAUGACAACAGUCAGGACAUCCUGACGUCUAUGGGGGACGAACGAUCCCUGUGACGCCUGCUCCUCCAAAGAAUCCUGUACAUAACACAUAUAUCUGUCCAAGGCAUUCACAAAAUACACAAAGAUAAUUACAAUUCUUAAUUGAAAAUGACUUACAAUCUUCUCAGUUAUUUCCUUUGUUGCCUCAGACGUCAUCGGCCCAGUUUUCUUUGUGUAGACCAUUUUUCACUUCAUGUGGCGUCUGAUGGGAGAUGGAGGGUCAAUGACGCCCUCAGUGCUUUCGGAUUGGGCAGCUUCCUCCAGUCUUUUCUUUGUCUUCUCAGCCAUAAGCUUUUGUUCUAAAUAUUCAUAACCCCCACGAAACAACACGUGGGGGGCAGUGUUUUGCUUCUGGAUGACUUGUGUUUUUUUCCGCACAUCCUGCAAAAAUCGAACAUUAAUGAAAAUGAUUACUACAAUGAAUUAUAAGAAGUUAUUUUUUUUGUGGAAAACAACUAAAAUGACAAACUACAUACCUCCCACGAGGGGUCUCUGCGGGUCUGACAAAACUUGGCCCAUUUCUCCUUGCUAAUGUCGCAUUUUUCACAGACAGUGUCGUCCACACCGUCCUUGUCGGCUGCAAGUGCCCAUUUCCUGGUCAAGUCAGAUUUAAACUGCCUCCACGGCUUGUCGACAGUCUGAAGAAUUUUCUUCUUUGUCCUACUGUUAGAAGCUUCAGGGAUUUCAGAUGUUAAGAUCAAGUAGUUAACAUCGGUUUUGACAUCGGUUUUGAAAAAACCGAUGUUAACUAACUCGACUUAUUUACAAAAAUGUCAUCGUGCUUUUCUUAACAUUGGUUUUUUAAAAAAUCGAUGUUAAUCGUGCGAUGUUAAAUCUAUAUUUUGUAGUAGUGUUUAGGUAUCUCAUAAAUUAGUCAAUUUUAUUUUGAGUUCUUAAAUUUUUUUCUUUUUAUUUGAUCCUUGAUAUUUUAUUUUUGAGUUCAUGCCGUUAAAAAUUUUAAAAUGCAAUUUUUUACUACUAAAAAUAAUAACAAUGUAAAUUUAUUUAAAAUAUUAAAUUACCAUUUAUGGCAAUUCAAUUGGAAAAAAUGAAGUAGAUAUGAUCAAAUAAAACCUUACAGACAAGACGAAGUCUAAGGUGGUCAAGUGAGUUAGGUGAUUUCUGGUGGUCAAAUAAUUUUUUGCCAAUAGAUUUAUUAAUAAAAUAUUAAACCAUUCAGAUGAAAUCUUUUUGUCAGUUUUUAACAAUUAAAAUUAUUUCCUCCCUUGUCUGUCGUGCACCACCAUUGGCAACACGUCACUACCUUGCUUUACUUUCCACUCUUCUUCUUUCCCUCUAUUUCCCUUCGUACUUUGACACCUCCGUAACCUCACUGUCAUGUUGUUGAAUUCACAUCCUUGAUUUUAAUUAUGACAAACCAUUAGCAAAACAAAUUGAAAGGAUGAUGGGUUUAAGUGAUGGCUAACAUUUCUCCCAAGCGUUUUAGUGUUUAUUCCUUAAGAAGCAUAAGUGUUCUUUCAUUCUGAUGUACUUAGAAUGAUGCUUAGAAAGGUUCGAAGAAUUGUUGUGAGAGUUGAAAACUUAGAAGAAUCCUUAAAGCCCAUCAAAAUGAUGAAAUUUGCUUCCCUUUGAAUACUUAGUUCUUGGCAAGAUACUGAACAACCUUACAUAAAAGAUUCAUCAAAAGAUUCAUCAAAGGCUACCAGAAGAACAUCUUGGUUUAGAAUGAAGUUAUGCAGAGUCUACAUAGAAUGACAAACACCUUGACUCUGAGUUUCUAAACAUCAGAAUGAUUCAGAAAGACUCAUAAUGCAUCACUUAAACAAUAUUAGAAGAUUAAAGUUUCACAUUUCUUCACUUUGCAUAUGCCACCACAAUCACUGUAGGCACGUUAGAAAGUAAGAAUUGACUGCAUAAAAAGAUGUAAAAUUGUUGAAUGAUGAAGUUGUCCAUGAGAAGCAUUAAUGUAAACCAUCAGAUUGAAGGACUAAAGAAAACUACUCAGCCUGACCAUAGACAAAACACUAACACACCAACAACUCAAUUUCUACUAAGUCUUUCUAAAGUAAAUCAACUUAAGAAUGUUUCAAAGUUGUGAACAAGUGUUAAGAGUGAUGAAGUUGUACGACUUCGGAUUGAAAUUUCUAUCUAAACUUCGUCAAAGGAAUUCAUUAAGCAUGGACUCAUUCUUUACAAACAUCAUAAUGACUAUUGUGAUGGUUCUUCAGAAUCCGCAUAAAAAAAGUUCCUCAGAAUGGUAAUCUCCAAAUGGUUUUGUCUACUGUCACUUCAUGAUAGUUAUAAGGUGAACCUACUUGCUCCAGAAAUGUUUCAGUUGUGUGGAGCCCACUACAAUGAUUUUCUUGGGAGCUUUAUAAGGAAUUUUAGAAGGCUAUGAAGAACAAGUUGAAGCAUUCCAAAUUUGUAUCACAUUGUGCAAGUCCUUUGAGUAAGAAAUUUGUGUUUUAGCUUCAACCCUCUCUGUUAGAGUGACCCACUUUUGUAUUGUGCUUUCAAAGCUUGUAAUAACCUUAGAUAGAAAUGAGAGAUUAAGUUCUUGAGUGGAAUCCCUCAUGUGAGGUGAAAAUCUUUAGCAUGUGUCGUAAAACCAUAGAUAUUUUUUUUUUAUGUAAAGUCCAAUAGUGACUAGCAAAGGUGAAAUCCAGUGGUGCAGCUGGUCUAGUAGAAGAUUGAAGUCUAGUAAGGAAUUGACAAGGUUGUGAAACCCAAUGGUUGUUGGUCCAGUUGUGAAUUGGUUGUGUUACUGAAAUAACAUCUUUAAGGGUGAGGAUUGGACGUAGCCCAAGGUUGGGGUGAACCAGUAUAAAAACCUUUGUGCACUUUCUUCUCUUUCUCUAUAUUUUGUUCUUGCACAAAUCUAAAACUACUUUUGUAUAAAAUACUAAAUUUGUUAACUUUUUAUCUUAACAACUAAACUAAGUUUUGUUUUAUCAAGAGGUAUUAGUAAAGAACUAUCUUUAAAACAAAAGUCUUAAAACUGCAAAAGAACUAUUUUUUUGAAUGGUUUGCAUUUUCAUUCUGAGUUGCUUGAAUUUCCAUUCUAAGCUCAUAACAGUUUUUAUAUUCUGAACUACCAUAAAAAAAACCUUUUUGUUUUCAAAGGAAGAUUAAAAGUUUUCAAAACCCCAAUUAAACCCCCAUUUUUGGUAUUUUUCUCACUUCAAUUAGCAUCAAAGUUUAAAUGAGUUAUUCACGAGCCCUUAAUGUCAAGCUUUCAAAGCUUGAGUUUGACUCAUUUAAAUAAUCAAGCUUAAUCUCAAGCUUAAAUUUGUUUGUUUAAUUAAACAAAUGAACUUAAAUGAUUAAUUAACAAGUUGAACUUGAAUAGUUCACAAAUAGUUUGUCUUAUUCACAUCCCUAACUCUUCAUUUUUUUAUCCAUAGGAAUUGAAUAAGAUAUAAAAAAAUUUAGAACACUCAGACACCCUGCUUAAUCAACUAAGUUAGACACCUUUAGUCCCUAACUCUUCAUAUGGUUAUAAUCAUAUUCUAGUAACAAUAUGUUUCAUUUCACUACCUUACUAAAUUACAGGACUGACUUCAUUAUUUUGCAACACCCUUUACAUCACAUCAUUCAUUCAUAAAAUUUGCAUUAGUUAAAUAAAAUUAUUCAUCAUCAACAACUAUGUAAUGUAUACCACCAUGCAAUCAAAGGAUAAGCAAUUAAGAAAAUAUUUAAGCUUAUAUAAUCCAAGUAGCAUGAUUGCCUUAAUUGGUACAUAAUGCAAGGCAUAAAAACCAAAAAGUGGCAGUAUGUGUAAUAACAAAAUGAAACAAAGGAAGGAGAAAAAAUUAUUUGUGUGUUACAAAUAAAGAGGAGGAAGAAGGAAUAAUUUAAAAAUAACUCCAUAUAUUAUUUGUUCUAUUAUUUUAUCCAAUGAAUUGUGAAGAAAAUAGAUGCAUUAGUAACUAAUUAUCUAUAAAAUUAUAUGAAUUGGUCCAAUAUAUUAUUUAUUUAUUUUGUAAUUGAAGAAUUUUCUCAUGAUUAACUUAGAUGAAUAAUGAAUAAGUUAAUUAUUUUGUUGCUCCUAAUUUAACCUGGUGUGUCUAUAACUCAUGGUUCAGGUUGACCCAUUCUCUUAAUCUAACUUUGUUUGUUCAUUGAGUUGCUCUUUAAUAUGGGUGGGCUUAUUAUCAACAUGGCCAGUAAUAAUGGGAAUUGAAUCAUGCACUCUCAUAAGUGUAUCCUAGAUCCCACUAUUCCGUUUGAAAUUAUUUGAUUGCCUUUAAUCAAUUAGCACUAUCUUCCCCAACCCAUUCGCGAUGUCUCCCUCCUACGAAGGUUGCUCCCUUCCUCCUUCGUCUCAAACCUGCAUAUCCUCGUUCCCUUCCUUCUUCGUCAUUGAAGGCAAGCUUCUUCCUUUCUGGUGGGGUUGGGGUUGGGUUCUGGUAGGGAUGGGUUUUGGGGGUGGCUUCUGGUAGGGGUGGUUUCCGGUGUGGAUGGGGUCGCAUUUCAAAAUGCUCAUUCUGUAACCAAAAAAUGCUUUCGGAAUGAGCUUUCCAUAAGCAAAAAAAGCUUCAAUUUUUCAUAAGCCAAAAAAACAUUCAGAAUAGUUGUUCUGGAAGUACUUUAGCUUAAGCAACGACUAUUCCAUAAGCAAAUUUGUAAAUCCAAAACAUCCUGUCUAGAAGUGUAUUUUAUAUAUUUUGUAAGGGGGGUUCCAAAAAUUAGUAUUGGGCUUACAAAAAGCCCAUUAUGGAAGCAACAUCUGCAAUCCAAAGUAGCCUUUCCAAAAGUGUAUUUUGCAUCUUUCAAAAAGUACGAUUUUGGCUUAUGGAAUGACCAUUUCGAAAACAAAAUUGCAAUCCAUAAUAGUUUUUUGGGAGUACAUUUUGUACCUUCCAAAUGUUCAUUUGAGACAACAAUAUUUUUACUUACGAAAUAGGUGUUCCAUAAGAUUUUUCCUUCUGAAAUGGUCAUUCCAUAAGUGAAUUUAUCCCUUACGGAAAGCCUAUUUCGGAAACAAGUUUACAACAUGAACGUGAAUGCACGUUAAAAUGUACCUGCAAAGUGGAGAGUUAGAGAAGGAGAGGGACUUUUGCGGUGUUGAGUUGGACUUGCUUUGUACCUUCAAUGGUUGCGAGAAAAAGAGUUGGAGAAGAUAAGAAGAACUGGAAAAGGGGUUUAGACUUGCGCUAUAGGAAGAGAAGAACGAGAAUGGGCUGCAACUACGAGAGAAAGAAGGGAAACCGAGGAUGAGGAUAGAAAGGGUAGGUUGGGGUUUAUUAAAAAAUGGGAGAUGCAUGAUACAUUUAGGGAGGUGCAGAAUUCCAGUAAUGACCAACUCAAGUCCAAUUAAUGGUGACAUCAUAAGUUAAUGACUUAGUGUCACUUUUGAUCCAUUAUGUUUCGCAAUUAUUUUGUUUUAAUACAUUGAGUUUAAAAUGUUUCAUUCCAAUCCUUUAUGUUUUUGAAAUAUAUUGUUUUGACUCUUUUUCUAAUUUUCUAUUUGAAAUGUUAGUUUUUUGUUAAUAUUUAAAUUUCAAAAUAAUUAAUUUAUGACAGUGGUGAUUAAAAAUCGUCACAAUAUUUAAAUUAAUUAUCUUAUUAUAAAUAUAAUUAUUUAAACAUUAAUUGUAGCAAUUUUUAAUUCCAACAAAUUUCUUAUUAAAUUUUUAUAAAUGAUUCUUCAUCCUUGAAGAUUCAAUCUUCAUUCCACAAAUCAACAAAUGCAGUUUACAAAUAGCAAGAACAAUUUUUAUUUGCAAGAAACAUAGAGAUGUUCACUCAAUAAUGAUAUAAAACUUGUUCUUUUUUACACAACAAAACACAAUGAGCCCUUUUUUUUUUUAUCACAUAUGACGAAAGCAACAGCUCCAGGGUCAUUAAUUAGCUUUGCAAACGGGAUCUGAUAAUCACAACCGUGGUUGAUAAUCCUCCAAUGUAAUUUGUGUUUAUAAAUUUUAUUUUUUACUCCUUUAUAUACUAUUCAUUUUCUAAAAAAGAUUACUCAUGUAUGUAACUAAAGAUUAUAUUUUUUGUUUCUGUUUAAAAAAAUGUUUUCUUAUGUUAAUUUUUUUUCUUAAUCGAUGCUUUAAUGAUAUAAGUAAUUAACUAUUUGCUCCUGCAAUGUAGUUUAAGUGUUAUGCUACAUUGUUAGUUUUUAUAUAUGCAUGUGGGAAGGUUCACUUGGAACAAGUUGCAGUGCAAACUUGGAGUCUAAUAUACAUAUAACCAUUAAUGGAAGCCUUCAUUCCAAUAGACAAUAUAUAUAAGUUGUUUCGUGCUUAUAAAAUUGUAAUGUUUUUUGUAAAGGAUGUUUAAGUGUGUCAAAUAUGUUAUAGCAAGGCAAGGUACGUAGCAGUAAACUUUAAAUGAUGAGUCAAGCAUUUCCAGUAAAUCUACUCUAAUUGCAUGUUUACAUUGAAAUUUUAAAGUAUUAUUCAUUUUAUGUUAGUAGUCCUACAGCUGGCUACUAGCUAGCAUGAAUGUUUAUGUUGUUAUUUUGUGGAGAAAGUCAAAUAAUUGUUUUAGGUGAUUAAUUUCACGCAUUUAGAUAUGGAUGCUGAAAAUUCUUAAGUCAGACUUUGAAUUGUUUCAUGUUCAUAUUAAUAUUCAUAUAAAGAGAUAAACAAAUAUGUAACUUAGCUCUAUUUUUGUUUUGGUGAAUUAGCUCUAUUUAUUAUAGUCUAAUAAUAAUGGCUGCAUGUUGGACUAAAUAGCAGAAAUAUACUUUGCGGAGAUCAUUAAUUGUGAUCAAAAUUGUGGCAUUUUUUUAUUACCACUCAUAAAAUUAUCACCAUGAAAACCCUACUAAUUACGCAUUUAACGAUCCUCAAUUAUUUCAGUAAAAUAAAUUUUUGUCUACCUUAAUUUUUUUUUUCUGUAAAAUUCUCCUAUAGUUAAAUUUACAAUAGAAAUUUUCAAACGAUACUUUUUUUAAGUAAAUAAUUAAUUAAAUUUAUGCAAAAUAAUUAAAUUAGGUCAUAUCAAAUUUAAUAUGAAUUAGAUUAUUAUUUUAAUACUUAUUUACUUACAUAAAAAUAUUUAUUUUUUAAAAAAUAUAAUUAUUCACAUGAGAUUUAUAGCAAAUAAUUUUUUAACUUAAUAUUUUUAUAACUUAUUACAACUUUUUUAAACAUUAUACACCAUUGUUUUAUUUUUUGCAAUUUAUUUUUCUGUAGUUAAGGUACAACUUUGAUGAGGAAAAUGGACCAAUAUUAUAGAUAAAUCACAUUAGUCAAAAAAAUGUGAAUAAGAUGAUUUAUUAAAAAUCAUAUCACCAUUAAUUUAAUGUUUUAUAUAAAAGACAGGUUUGAUAAUGAGUUUAUAGUUUAGGAAAUUUAAAUUAAGUGAAGGGUAAAAUGUCAUGAAUAAGUUUGAAAAUUCAUAUCUUAUUUUUAGGUAUUGAGAGAAGGAUAAUGAAUUUUAAUGAUUUUAAUAUUGUUUAUUUGAAUUUGUGCAUUCGUUCAAUGAAUUUUAUUUUUCAAUAAAAAUAUCAAAUGUAGAAAAUAAAAUAAAAGAUUUUUUCUUUUUCACUAUUUUGAUUCUUAAUUUCAUAAAUAUUUUAAAUAAAUUUUAUAUUAAAAUUAAAAAUAUAAUAAAAAUAUUUGUUUUAAUCAAACGUGUUUUUAUUUUUUAUAUGAUUUUGAAAAGAAAUUAAAAGAGAGAAAAUACAAAAUUUUACUCACAAUAUAAAUUUUUUUCAUGAUAUAAAAAAAGAAAAUAGGAUUAAUAAAAUUUUGUAUGAUAAAAUAAUUAAUAGUAAAUUUAUUUAUUCUUUCUUUUACUUAUCAUUAUUUUAAAAAUAUAUAAAAUUUCAUCAAAAAUAAAUAUAUUGUAAUUCUUCCUCAAGUUAAAUGAUAUAUAAAGUUAUAUUUUCUUAACUCUAAUUUUUCUUUAUAUAUAUAUAUAUAUAUAUAUAUAUAUAUAUAUAUAUAUAUAUAUAUAUAUAUAUAUUUUGUUAAAUUUCCCUUUACUUCCAAAUAAAUAAUAAUUUUCAUUUUCCAAAACAAAAUUAGGUGAAGAGAUGAUUUGGAAAAAUAAGUAAAAUUUGAGAUAAUUAUUUUUAAUUAUAUAAAAAUUUCUAAACAAAAAUUGUAAAUGUUUAUCUGUCAUUAUUUUUCUGAAGUUUUAAAGUUAUUGUUUAAAAAAAAUUACACCUCCUACACAUAAUUUGUCCAGUGUGUCGCACAGAAACAUGUACUAGUGUAUGAAUAUAAGAAUAACACAUCCUUAUAUAAGUAAUUUGGUGUGAUCAUUUAUAUUUUCUUUUUCUUUUAUGUGAUUCUCAUCAUAUAAUAUAAACGGUAAUAUUAAUAUAUCGUUAGUUUGAGUAAAAUUAAGUUUAUUUUUUAAAAAUAAAAUCUAAGAUUCAAAUGUUAUAAAUAAAUAAAAAAUAUGAUUAAAAAAAAGCCAUCUAAUUUUUUUUGACAAAGGUUAAUGAUAAGUUUAAUCUGAGCAAUAACAUGACAGUAGAAGCAACCGACUGCAACUCGUCUACUUGAAUAUCUUCCUAAUAAUUGUUUCAACUUUCAAGCCUCGUGUGCUUUGACAUUUAUGCUCCAUAUCCUGAAAAUUUUGAUAAGAUAAGGGACCAAUCUAUACACAGUCCCAAGGAGAUUUGCAAGUAAGAAGAGAAAAAAAUAAAAUUCCAGACCCAUUGUUGGUGAAGGCGAAAUGUGUAGUGGGUUGUCAACGCAAUGCAAUGGUUCACAGUGUGCUGGUCUUAUUGAUGUUUUUUGGUUGCAGGUUCAAUGGUGGUUCUGAUGUAGAGAAGAAGAUGAAAGGGCCAAGGAGGAGAGAAUGGAACAGAGGAAGAAGAAGAGGGUAGAUGAGGAAAGAGAGAAAGAAAAAUCCAAAAAGAAAAUAAAAAUCCCAGCCAUUGAUUUUAAUUUUAAAAUAUCUAAUAAUUUCAAUUAGUUUCCCACUAUGCCAAUCUCGUAAAACUUUCGUCUGGCACCGUGCCUCGCUGUUGAAGGGUUCCCAUGCUAGCAUCUGCCAACACGAUCUGACAUUUCAACUAGGGGUGGGUAUAUCGGUCGGUUUAGUCCGUUUAAGAUCUGACAUGUGAAAUCAAUAUUUUAAGCUUAUUGGGUAAAUCUGGUUGUAAAAUAGAAAGAUUUUUUUUCUUUUUUUUAGAUUUAUAUUGGUUUCCUAAUCCGGUAAAUAAACGAAUUGGUCCGUGGGUUCAAUUAAUAAUUUAAAAAUAAAAAUAAAAAUAUAUUUUUAAUUAUUUGGUAGGUUCGCAAGCAAGAGAGGGGCAACACACGUCAACUGAAGAAGAGAAAGUAAUCUUGUGGAUCUCGUGACAGAAUGAGAGCUGGAGAAGGAGUGAGAGUUAAAAAGAAGAGACUGCCAAGUAUAAAGUCUCAACUCAAAUACUAAAUUUAUGUAAUUUUUAUUUUAAAAUUAAUUUUAUCUUAUUAGUAAAUCUGUGUAUAAAAUUCGUUAAAUUUGCAUACUUAACGAAUCAAACUCAAAUAUUAUUUAUAAUUAUAUGGAUUUAUAAAAAAAUAAAUUGAUAAUAUGCUCAAUCCACGAAAAUAACGGACCGUCCCCGCAAACCUGAAUAGUCAUCCCUAAUUUCAACGGAGUGGAAAGUGGGAAACCAUGAAACUUGCUACGUACUGUGAAAUUAAAAGGUCCGUACUAAUGUACGAAAUUAAUAAUCUUCUCCUCCCUUGUCGUCAUUUCUCACCUCAUCAUAUACAUAAUAAUACAUUAGUACUUUUUUAGGAGGACAGGCCAUAUAUAUUUUUAACACAUUUUUAAUAUUAUUUGUUGUUAAUUAGUUUUUUAAUAAAUUAUAAGUUAAGUUAAAAUUUAUUAAAUUUACAAAACUAUAAGAAAAAAACAUUAAAUAAGAUGUAGGAUCUACAAAAUUUAUAAUUUAUAAUAAAUUUUAACUAAUAAAUUUUAACUAACAAAUUUUCAGCAUUUUUCUAUUCUUUUAGACUACAAGUAUUGAUUAAGUUAAAACAACCAUGUGUUAAUGGUUCCUAUAGUAAUAUUAUUAGGAUAGAAUAUAAUUAUUUUUGGUACAAAAAUACAUGGGAUUUAGAUAAAAAAAAAUCCUGUUAAUUAAUGUUACAAGAUACAUUAUUUAAACAUUUAAAAAUUAACAUUACAUUUAGCAUUUCAAGUUUUCAACGGAGUAGAAAGUGGGAAACGAUGAAAUUUGCUACUCUUAAUUUAAAAGGUUCGUACUAUAAAUUAUAAUGAGAUUCGUCUUUACUUUCGCACCCUCUAUACAUUAUAGUAAUUUAAAGUGCAUGUGAUAUGGUAUGCGAAUAUUUCUACCUGUUGUUUAAAAUUUAUUUAGAAUAUAGUACGACACUGAAACAUUAUUAUCUCAUAAAAAAAAUUUAUAUAAUUAAAAAUAAAUUUAAUUUAAUACAUUGAUAAUAUAAUUUUUUUAUAUCAUCAAUUAAUUAAAAAUCAUUCUAAAUAUAAAUUUUAAAAUAACUAUUAUAAAAGUAAAAAAAAUUAAUAUACACAACAAUUCAUAAUUAGAUGACAUUGCGUUUUAAUUAAUUCAUUGAAAAUUAGUGCCUUUUAUAAUAAAUAAUCUAGAAGUGAUAUUUAAAGUGGUUUCUAAUUAGUUAUUAGUAUACAUUUUUACAGUAGCAUAGUUUUAAAAUUAAACUUCCAGUAUAUGUUUUUAUUUUCUAGAUAUACAUGCAGAUUAAAAAUAUAUUUUAAAACUAAAGGAGACUUUUUUGUUAUAUAAUAAUAAUAAUAAUAAUAAUAAUAAUAAUAAUAAUAAUAAUAUAAAGUGAGAGAUGGAAAUGUAUGAGGGGACGAUGUUCGAUUUAUUUUUAUGAUGGGAACAUAAUUUUUUAAAAUAAAAAAUAAUUAGAAAAUUUUAUUUAAAAUAUUUUUAUUAUUAAUAUAUCUCUUAUUAAAAUUAUAUAUAUAUAUAUAUAUAUAUAUAUGAGAUUGCUAGCAUACUCUAAUGUUAGAGUAUUUAAAUAACCUACAUCAAAUUAUUAGAAUAAAAAGCUUAACUAUUUAUUUUGUGAUAAUAAAUUUAUUUAAAAAAAUAUGAUAAUUUAAUAUUUAUAUUUUUAAAAUUCAUUUAUUUAUCUCUUCAACUCAUUCUCUCUCCUCUCUUUUUCUCUCACAUCAUUUAAUAUUUAUAUUUUCAAAAUUAAAAUUUAAAAUAUUUACCGAGAGAAUGAAUGAGGAAAAUAAAUAAAUGAGUUUUAAAAAUAUAAACAUUAAAUUAUCAUAUUAUUCUUAAAUAAAUUUAUUAUCACACAAUAAAUAGUUUAAUCUUUGAUCUAAAUAAUUUGGUGUAGGUUAAAUACUCUAACAUGAGAGAGUAAGUUAACAAAUCAUUUUAUGAAUGUACGUAUGGGAAGGAAGAAUGUAAUAGAAAACAAAAAAGAAAGAAAAAGAAGGAAAUUAAAAAUAAUAAAUGUAAUUAAUGAUUUAAGAAAAAAAUAAAAAUAUAGUAUACAAACGAGAAAAUAAUUACAGUCAGACUCAGAAACUGUCAUGAUAUUUAUUCAUCUCUAAGUAAAACAUAAUUUUAUUUUAUUUUAUUUUCCCCUCAGAAUUUUAAAAACUCAAGUGUCUCAUGUAUAGCCAAAAAAACCAUAGACGCAUGGUAGUUGGAGAGCCGAGAGCCUACAAUUAUUUCUGAGACAAAAGAUGGAAGAUAAAGUUUACAUAAUUGUUCUCUCUCCAAUUUCUAUUAUAAGAAAAAAAAUAAUUUCAUAUUAAUUAUAAAAUUAAUUAAUUUUAUUAAAUUAUGUUAAUUCCAAAUAAAAAUAAGUUUUUUAAAAAAAUUAUUUUUCAUUAAAACUUGAUAUCAAACAUAAAAAAAAAAUUAUCCUAUCAAAUGAAAGACAUUUAUUUAAAAAUAGUUUUAUUAAAUACGGUAAAGUUAAUUAACUUUUGUUUAUAUAAAAAAAAGCAAUUUUUUUGUUGCUUAUUAAAAAGACCAGUGGGAGUACUAAUUAAAACAAAACUAUGGCUGCUAUGUAACAUGGCACCAGAGAGUCUCAAUCCUUAGAGAAAUUAAAUACCAAACUUUGACAUUUCACAGAGUGAUGGUAGUAAUAAAUGACAAGGAAUGAGACCCAGCAUGGACCCAGUCCUUUGACCACUAUUAUUGUCCAGCUCAAUUGAAAUUUUUUUAUUAAGAGUUUAACUUAGUUGAAUAUGAUAAAUAAAUUAUUAUAAUUUUUUAAUAUUUAUUUUUAAUUUUUAUGAAUAAAAAACUAUUACAAUCUCAGUUCAUUUUCUUGGGACACGUAAUCAAGUUUAAUAACUAUUUCUCAUAGCUUAAAAAUUCAGUUAUGUCGAGUAUUUAUGUACAAAUUAGUUAGAACAAUAGGCGCGUAUAGUGGUCGCCCUCUAAGACAUAUAAUUGUGAAGAUCGAAGAGAAGCUUUAUACAAUUAUUAAUGAUAAAACUAUCAUUGUUAUAUAACAUGGGGCCAUAAAUGAGUGCAUGGAUUGAAUGAUGCAAAAUUGUUACAACUUAAUUAAUUAUCUUGAGUUUUAAUUUUAAAUAUAUAUUUGUGUUAAAUACUCCGGAAAGAGUUUUAUGUUCAUAAUUAUUAUAUUUAACUUGAACAAUAUUAACUCAACUGAUGAUGCAUAUAUAGUUUAUACAAAAAAUAUAUAUAUAACAUGGGACCUAGGCGAUGGCAAAACGGGUUGGAUCUAUUCGAUCAACCCAUUUUGGGCUUUUUUUUCGAAUUAGGUUGGAAUUUUCAAUCCUUCAACUGCUUUGCUAUGUUUUGAUCCGCUACAAAAUGGGUUGAGAGGAAAGUAGAACGGACCAACUCUCUAACCCGUUUUUUUUAUUAAGAAAUAAUUUUAGUAUUUAUUUUGAUAUUUUAUACUAAUAUUUAUUAAUUUUCAAUUAGCUUAUUUUUUGUCUAAAUAAAUUAUUAUUAAAAAUUUAAGGUAAUACAUUUAAUUUUUUAGUAAGUAUUUAUUAUUUAAUAUUUAUAAAAGAUAAAAUUAAUUAAAAUACAUUUAUAAUUUAUUUUUUUAGUUUUGACAUGACAAAAACGAAAUGAACUGAACACUUUGAAUCUAUAUAUAAAAUACGGGAUGAGAUGGGAUGGAUUGAUCCGUUUUUUAUGGAUUGAUCCCUUUUUGCUAGCCCUAAUGGGACCAAAGAGUCACUAUCCUUUAGAAAAAUUCACACCAAACUUUUGACAUUACAGGCAGGGACAAUGCGAGUAAUAAAUGGCAUAGAAUGAGACCCUAGUCCUCUGGCCACUAUAAAAAGGGAUGAUUGUGUGUGUUACAUGCAUCAGCCACCACCAUUGACUAGUAUCAUUAAGAUGGCUAAUUCCUACUUAUCCUUGCUUGUCUUGAUCCUUGUAGCUCUGCUCCUCACCCCUCAAGGGCUUGCUGAUGAAUCUGAUUCUUACUAUAAGCCACCAGUUUACAAGAAACCACCAGUGUACAAGCCCAAGCCCAAGCCACCCAUUCACAAGCCCAAGCCACCCGUUUACAAGCCCAAGCCACCCGUUUACAAGAAACCCCCUUAUGGUAAGUACCCACCAGUUCAAGACAACGAUCACUUCUAAACCAUGCAACAAGGCAUGUUAAUGUUAACUAUCUACUAAAAUAAAGAGGUUCAGUUAACCUACUACGUACGUUGCUCCUUUUAAUUCCUAAAUCGUAAUUUACAACUUUGUAGGGAUGAGACAUUCUUGGCUAGCUCUGCACUUCAAUCCUUUAUUUGUACAAUGCUAUGGCCAAGUCAAUACCAUGCAUCUUAUCUAUGUGUGUCAUUGAACGAAGUAGUUGCGUGAAAAUGAUGCUUGUACUAUGAAUAAAUAAUAAAAGAACUUUAUCAUUUCAAGAUUGUGCUGUUUAGUUUAUUUGCUGAACCACCGUUACUGACCAUAAAUAAUACACAUGCAGGUCUUGUUUAGGAUAAACUUAAUUAUCCGUAACUUUUGAGAAAGAAUAUUCAAAAUUAAAAUAAAUUAAACUUUUCUAGCAAUUUAAAAUCAACUUGAUUUAUUCUCCUCCUUCUAACAUAAUUUAUUUUCUGAAUUAUUUAGUUAAGGAACACAAAGUGUUAUCAUUUGUACUAAUUAGUAUUGAUGUACUUAUGCUUUUUAAUCUUUAUAAAUAUUAACUGUUUUUAUUGAUGUAUAAGUUAGUUUUAACUCAUAAAAAAGUUUAACUUUUUUAUAUUUUCAUUUUAUUUCUCUCUCUCUCUCUCUCUCUAUAUAUAUAUAUAUAUAUUCAUAGAAAAAUUUAUCCAAACACGAUCAUAGUCCAACUUGCUGGUUAUGUUUAAGGAAGUGUUUGAAAAGGUUUAUAUUGAACUUAUUCAAAUUUAUAAAAUUAGUUUAUAAAUUAUAACUUAAUAUAAGUUUUUUUAAAAUAUUUUACAUUGAGUAGUAUGAGAUGAUUUAGUAUGGAAAUUGUACAAAUAUAUAUAACACAUGAAAUUAUGUUUUAGUGUAUAAAAUUAAUAAGUUAUGAAAUAACAAAAAGACAAAUGAAACUGAAAAAGAAUUCUGGACUCAUUAAUUUUAAUAUGUAUUAUAUGAAUUUUCACAACUUAUUAAUAAAACAUGUGUUAUAUUCACCAAAUAAAAAUGUUAAAUUAAAGUAUUUUAUAUUAAUAAAUGAGAAUGAUGGCAUAUUUGCUUGAUUAGGCCAUAUAGGCCGAGAGAUUAUGCUAUAGGGUCCGAAUUUGCAUUCAUAAUAAUGCAGAGUUUAACAAAGGACAAAAAACAGAUUUUUUUUAUAGAAGGAUUUUAUUUAAGCAAUAAUACAGAGUCCACCUUUUCAACAAAAAAAUGUAGUGUCCACACAAAAAUUCAUUCCUUCCAUGUACGGAUGUACGGAAUAAGAAGGGAAAGAAGCAAUAAGUCUUUGGUAGCGCUUUUUUAUCAAAUAAGGGUAACUUUUUUUUUUUUACGACUUUCAUGUCAUAAUUUUUUAUUUUAUUAUUUUUUAACUGAAGCUGUAAAUAAUCAUUUCUUUUACGAUUUUAAAAUUAUAAAAAAAAAUUUAAUUUUUUUUAAGGUUUAUGACUUUAAAGUCAUAAACCUAUUUUUUUAAAAGUUUUUUUUAAAUUUACAAUUGUUUACGAUUUUAUUUUUAUUUAAAAAAAAUUAAAAAAGUAUUUAAAUAUAUAAUAAAUAAUAUUAAAUUGACUUAUUUAUUAAUAUUUUUUUUAUGAUUUUAUUUGAUAUGUUAUUAAUUUAUUUAAUGUUUUAUUAUUUAAAACAUGUUAUAUAUAUAUAUAUAUAUAUAUAUAUAUAUAUAUAUAUAUAUAUAUAUAUAUUUAAUAUAGUUUAAUUUAAAUGUUUUUUUAUUUAAAGUUUAAAUAAUCUAUUAAUAAAAAUAAAAAAACCACAUAAUCAAUACAUUAAUAUAAAACACAUAAUACAAAUGAAAAAAAAAACAUAAAAAGUACAAGUUAUUUUAGUUAUGUACUUGUUUGUAUGGACACUUAAUAUGAUUAUGUCCUUCACUUCUACAUAAUGAGCUUUCUUAGACCUAUUUGGAAUUGAUUCAUUCAUCUCAUUAUAUAUUUGAGUAGUGGCCGACCUGCUUGAUGUUUGUCAUCGUUUCGAAAGAUCAAACAUAAAAUGUGGACCUAAAUAUUGAGGUCUGUGUCUUCACUUCCAAGGAAAUGAAAAUGAUGUUGAUAAACUUUGAAAAUGUUUUCCAACUUGUAUACAGGAUCAACAAAGUCAUCAUAAUUUAAAUUGCAAAAAGCAUAUGCUGCAAUUGCAUGCAAGUAUGGUAGCCAAAGUGCUUAAAAUUAUCCAUAAUCACAUGACCAUUCAUUCAAUCUGACAGUGCAUGCCAUUGCUCGUCGACCAAGUCGCAUGUUUAUAAUUUCUUGAAACUCAAACUCCCCUGUUUCUCGAGCAUACAUGCGAACAUAAUGCGAGGUAGCAAUGUGUUGAUUUUCUUGCAUCAUGACAUAUACGUCUUCGGAGUACCUAUGUCCUGCCUUUAUCAUAUUCAUGAUUUUGAUGUCGUUAGUAACAAAUGAAUCAUUUAUUUUAUUAAAUGUUUCAUUGAUUAAGGCAGUAAUAGGUAAUGCUCGGGCUCCUUUCAAAACAGAAUUCAUACAUUCGGCAAGGUUGGUAGUCAUAUGGUCAUACCAUUUUCCUUCAUCAUAGGUCUGGGUCCAUUUACUCUUAGGAAUUUGAUCCAACCAAUAUGCUGCUUGUGGAAACUCUGCUCGCAUAGUGAGAAACUUAGCCUCAAAUCGUGAUUUCCUCAUCUCAUACCCUAUGCCAAAAGAUAAAAUAAUGAGUAAUAAAUUUAGUGAACAUGUAAUAAAGCAAGAAUAUGAUGCAUAAAAUAGGAAGAAACAUACCCAUAUUGAUGACUUGUUUGUUUUAAGUCAACAUUUUUAAAUUGUUUGUUGAAAUUUGAUGCAAUGUGGCAAAUGCAAUACGUGGAUGAAACAUUUGGUCCAUUCCAGCCAAUGCAUUCGGAUUGUAAAGCUACUAGCAAACCAGUUCAUCUGUCUGAUAUAAUACCCAAAUUUGGUUGCGGUGUAACAUAUCUUCGCAAAUAAUGCAAGAACCCCAUCCAAGCUUCUUUAGUCUCGCUCUCAAAAAUUGCAAAAGCACGUGGAAAAUUGUUCCUACUACCAUCUUGUCUGAUGACAGUCAACAAAGUACCACGAUAUUUGCCCGUUAAAAAUGUUCCAUCUACUUGCACAAGUGGCUUGCAAUAUUUGAAGUCUUCAAUGUAUGGAUUAAAAACCCAAAAUACACGACUAAGAAUCACCCUAGGAGGGUCAUCGUCACCUUCCUCCAUUGAAGAUAAAGUUUUGUAUUUUACUAUGGUACCUGGUACAAAGUGUUGAGCAGUUGUCAACCAUACAGGCAGGUAACUGUAUGAUUGUUCCCAACUUCCAAAUGUCAUUUCAAGGGCUUUUUGUUUAGUUGUCCAUGCUUUUUUGUAUGAAACAGUGUAACCAAACUGUUGAUGCAUGUCUGCAAUCAAGGUUUUGAUUUCGAUAUCCAGAUUUGUUUUCACUAAAUGAACAAUAUUAUGGGCAAUUACAGAAGAAUCUAACCUAACAUGAUCUUGUGAUAUGACAGAAUUUGUGCAGGUGUGAAUACCGUUUGAUUUCUUCAACUCCCACCUUUUGCAUAUUUUGUUGAACGAUAUUCUUUCCCUCCAAUAACGUCAUUACCAUAUUAAUUACACAUGACAACAUACUUGUCACUCUUGUUCCUGACCACAUCAAAAUUAAAUGAAUGCAUAAAAUGAAAUUGUUUAAUGGCAUUCACGGUUGCUUGUUUUGAUUCAAAUGUCAACCUUUCAUAAAGGUUUGUACUAACACUCCCUCUCCUUUGAUAAGGAUUUGACUACUCUUGAUUUUCUGAAAGUUGGCUACUAAUAGUUUCAAAAUAUGAAGAUGAAUCACUUUGAUUGCUUAGUUCAGCAUGUUCAUGAAAAUCACGUUGUUGCUCGUCAUCAUUGAAGUCACUAACAUUAUCUCUUAUUAUAGGUUCUUCACUAGCCAUUUGUAAAAAAAAAGUUAUUUAUUAGUGAAAUGAAAUCAUUGGAUUGCAUGUAAUGUAAAAAAAAAACUUUUUAAAUACCUUUUCAUGUAUGUAACGCUAAGAAAAUUAUGCCAGUAUGACUCUAAGUAACACGUCAAAAUCAGAGAACCAAUCGAUUAUUUGGAUGCAACAGAUGCAAGAUUGUGUAAAUGUGAAUUAUAAGUGAAAAUGAACCAUCCUUUUAUAAGUUACGCCGAACAAUUCAUGCUACAUGUAUCCACCAAUAUACUAAAACAUAAAAUAAUAAUUUAACAAAAUUAUUUUAACAUGUAUAAUAAUUUAUCUAACUAAACCAUAAAUUAAUAAUAACUAAACACUAAUAUAUUAAACAUAAAAUAAUAAUUUAACAAAAUUAUUUUAACAUGUAUAAUAAUUUAUCUAACUAAGUCGUAAAUUAAUAAUAACUAAACACUAAUAUACUAAAACAUAAAAUAAUAAUUUAACAAAAUUAUUUUAAGAUGUAUAAUAAUUUAUCUAACUAAACAGUAAAUUAAUAAUGACUAAAUACUAAUAUACUAAAACAUAAAAUAAUGAUUUAACAAAAUUAAUUUAACAUGUAUAAUAAUUUAUCGUCACUGAAUUGUCACUGAAUUGUCAAAUGGAAUCAUUGGAAUGGUUAUAUUGUUCAUGGUAAAAUAGAUCAAGGUCUUUUACAUGAAAAUUCAUAAUAUAUGCAAUGGUAUAUACGUCAAACUAGACGAUAUAUAUCGCAUGAAUCACAAUAUUAUCCUGGUCAUCACCAACAUCAAUCAUAUGUAGAACCCAAUGUACCUCCAGUGCAUGUUCCUGGAUUUAUGUACUAACAUCAUCCAUCACAAACACAAUAUCAAUCAACAAGUUUCUCUGGUCACACAUCUCAAGGAUGUCAACAAAGUUUUCAACCACUAGGGUUCUCAUCAUAUAUACAUCAAUACUCCUUUCAAGUCUCUUCUACCUUAAAUGUUUUUUAUGGUCCCUCACAAAUAUUUGCCACCAUUUUCAACACUCCACCAUGUGCAUAUAAUCUAGCACCAUUGAGUUUUUGUUAUCUUUCAUCAUUACCUACUCAAAUGUGUGACAUGGGUCAUGAAGAUGAGGAGGGGGAUGAUGAUAACAACAAUAACAACGAUGAUGAUGAUGAUGGUGAUGAUGAUGAUAACGGUGGUCAUCAUGUUCCUCAACAACAACACACAAUUACACAUGAGCAUCCUAGACCAAGAUAAGGUAGAGGUCGUAGACCAAAAGGACAACAAACAAGACAAAUCCAGUCCAACAAGAUGAGAGACCGAGACGCAUAUCUAGAAGAACUUGGGACAUCGUCUCAUUAUUAGUUUAACAAAUAUGUAAUUUUUAUUUAAAUAUAAUCAAUUUUUAAACUAAAGUCUUUCAAAUUUUUAAUAUUUCAUUUUAAUUUUUUUAUGUAUUUUUGUUCAUAGAUUAUUUAAACUUUAAAUAAAAAACAUUUAAAUAAAACUAUAUUAAAAAUAUAUAUAACAUGUUUUAAAUAAUAAAACAUUAAGAAUCACUUUGAUAAGGAUUUGACUACUCUUGAUUUUCUGAAAGUUGGCUACUAAUAGUUUCAAAAUAUGAAGAUGAAUCACUUUGAUUGCUUAGUUCACCAUGUUCAUGAAAAUCACGUUGUUGCUCGUCAUCACUGAAGUCACUAACAUUAUCUCUUAUUAUAGGUUCUUCACUAGCCAUUUGUAAAAAAAAAAGUUAUUUAUUAGUGAAAUGAAAUCAUUGGAUUGUAUGUAAUGUAAAAAAAAACUUUUUAAAUACCUUUUCGUGUAUGUAAUGAUAAGAAAAUUAUGUCAGUAUGACUCUAAGUAACACGUCAAAAUCAGAGAACCAAUCGAUUAUUUGAAUGCAACAGAUGCAAGAUUGUGUAAAUGUGAAUUAUAAGUGAAAAUGAACCAUCCUUUUAUAAGUUACGCCGAACAGUUCAUGAUACAUGUAUCCACCAAUAUACUAAAACAUAAAAUAAUAAUUUAAAAAAAUUAUUUUAACAUGUAUAAUAAUUUAUCUAACUAAACCAUAAAUUAAUAAUAACUAAACACUAAUAUAUUAAACAUAAAAUAAUAAUUUAACAAAAUUAUUUUGAUAUGUAUAAUAAUUUAUCUAACUAAGUCGUAAAUUAAUAAUAACUAAACACUAAUAUACUAAAACAUAAAAUAAUAAUUUAACAAAAUUAUUUUAACAUGUAUAAUAAUUUAUCUAACUAAACUGUAAAUUAAUAAUGACUAAAUACUAAUAUACUAAAACAUAAAAUAAUGAUUUAAUAAAAUUAAUUUAACAUGUAUAAUAAUUUAUCUAACUAAACCCAAAAUUAAUAAUAACUAAACACUAAUAUACUAAAACAUAAAACAAUAAUUUAACAAAAUUAAUAAUUUAAAAAAAUUAAUUUAACACUAAAUCCUAAAUUAAUAAUAACUAAACACUAAUUUAUGUUACAUAUACAAUAUAUGAUGAAAGUAUAAUAUUUAUAAGAAAGCGUACGAAUGCAAUACAAAUUCAUUAGGAUAUAUAUAUAUAUAUAAAAAAUCAUUUGCAUGAAUAGUGAAGUCGUGUGGUAUUUCACGACUUCAAUAAUUCAGCAAAUGUUCCAUGCUUCAAUUUGCGCCAUCCAUUCUUUCAUGAUUCAAUCUUGGCCGUUGACUCCAAUAGUGAAGUCGUAGGAGGAGAACGACUUCAAAGUCGUUUGUUUCUUCACGACUUUGUCAAUCUGCAAUUGUUGUUUCAUUCCAUAAUGCAAUGAUAUUUUGCGUGUUUAAUGCAGUCAUUAACAUGAUGUCUUCCUUGUGAUAAUCCAGUGAUAUGUUGUGGGUUGGUUGUAGGGAUUAGCAUGCCGUUAAAGUGCUGCAAAAUGCAGCUGAAAAUUGCACCAUUUUUGUUUUACUUGGAGCUUGUUUAAUGUAGUGUGUUGUUCACUCAAUGUGCAACAAAGAAAAAGCCGAAAACAACAGUGUUUUAAUCUCGUGAACCUACCACAUGACUUUCAUUUAUGAUUCUUGAACCUACCAAGGAAAUAGCUAAGACUGAAAAAGCAUAUGAGCAUGUAGUGUUUGUGUUUGCACAUGGUAGCUUUAGAAGUAUGCUGAAAACAAGCUUUGUAGGCUCCAAUAAAUUGCACCCGUGAAGGUUGCACAUGCAUAAAUAGUAUAAAAGUAAAUUGGUGUGUAAGAAGCAUGCACAUGCUACUCACAGUUGGUAUAUCGUGAAGCAUGCUUAUAGGUACAUGAAAUAAUGUAUGAGACCGUGGAAUCUUGUUAUUCACAGUACCUAUCUUGUGAAGGUAUCUCAUGAAGCAUGCUUAUACGAUCGUUUAUGGUGAAAUGAUGUAUGAUACCAUGGAAUCUUGCCAGAAAUAAAGUAGUCAAUAAUAACUUAUGUUGACAGCAAUAAUGGUACUCUAAUAGCUUGAAUCACAGACCAACAUGCUUUAAGUUGUGUAUAUUAGACUUCAACAAGUGUGCAACAAUAUUAUACAUGUUAAAAUAUUAGAAGGUUUUACUUUUUCAAAAAAACAUUGUGUCAACGAGUACCUUACACCACCCUCCUUUCAUACCUCCUCCUUUCAUUCUUCCUCAUUCUUAUUUUCAUCCUUCUAUCCAUUUACCAACGGCAUAUGCACAACCCAGACCAGUUGAUGGCUCCUUGUUGCGCUUACAAGACAACCAUAUUUCAAAUUAAGUGUGGGAAGGCCAAAAGAGAAUCAUUCGUCUGAGGUAUACUUUUGUUUGAGCUUUUACCCACUUGGAUCAAAUAGAUAAUUGGGCAAAAAAUCUAAUCACGUUAGCUGGUUUCAAUCAUGUUAUAAAUGUUGGAAAAGUUAAUAUUAACCAACAUUUGGUUAGUGCGUUGGUUGAACGUUGGAGAAUAGAGACGCGCACAUUUCAUUUUCCACAUGGAGAGACAACCAUUACUUUACAGGAUGUGACCCUAUAGUUGGGCUUGAAGAUUGAUGGAUUGUCGAUAAUCGAUUUCAUCACCGGUGAUGUACGUGUUGCUUGUUAGAUAUUACUAGGGGAAACUCCACCUGAUAAGUAUGUAAAAGGUAAAAUGAUUUACCUAACUUGGUUGCGGCAAAAUUUUCAGCAACUUCUCGUUGAUGCUAAUGAUGUUGUCAUUGCACAGCAUGCUAGAGCUCAUAUCAUGAUGAUUAUAGGCGGUUAUUUGAUAUCAGAUACAUCAGGUGCAAGAGUUCAUUUUUUGUAUCUUCUUUUAUUAUCAAAUUUAUCUGAGGCAAGUCAUUACAGUUGGGGUGCAGCAAUAUUAGCAUCCCUUUUUCGAGCUCUAGAUCGGGUCGUGCUUGUGAAGCCAGACCAAACAAAAAUUGGUGGAUGUUUGUUAUUGCUACAGUCAUGGGCGUGAGACUGCAUUAAAUGUAUUACCCCAAAGAUAGAUCACCUAUCUAUGGAAGAAGUACAAGAAGGACUCGAAUUUCCUCUUGCACGAAGGUGGCCUCGUCUAAGGACCGAAACAAAUAUUCCUACCAUUUCAGUGAGAUUGAUACGCAUCAUAUUUGAUAGACUACAUAUUAAUGAAGUUUAUUUUUUAAUUUUCAUGAAUUAACUAUUUUUUCCAGUUUCCUAUUUGAUUAUAAAUAUGUUACAAUAAUAAUAUAUGUGUUGUAGUUCUUGUGGACUCCUUAUGACACACCAGAAAUAAGGCCAUUAAUUAAUGAUGUAGAGGUAUCAAUGAUUGUUCGGGCAAAAGUUCAUCUCAUAUAUUUUGCAAUUGUGGAAUGACAUCCAAUAGACAGGGUCAUGAGACAAUUUAGACUGCGAUAAAUUAUUUCAGAUGACACAUCAAACCUAGAUCAACUCCACGACAUAGAUAUGAGAAGGAAAACAUAUAUUUUUUGGCCUCACCAUCAUCGCCACUGAAUUGUCAAAUGGAAUCAUUGGAAUGAUUAUAUUGUUCAUGGUAAAAUGGAUCAAGGUCUUUUACAUGAAAAUUCAUAAUACAUGCAAUGGUAUAUACGUUGAACUAGACGAUAUAUAUCACAUGAAGGAACAGUAUCUACUAAGGUUGUAAAUCUACUUUACAAUUUUAAUCAUUCUUGAUAUUAUUAUUCAUUGUUAUUUCUAACUUUAUAAAUUUGAAUCACAAUAUUAUCGUGGUCAUCACCAACAUCAAUCAUAUGUAGAACCCAAUGUACCUCCAGUGCAUGUUCCUGGAUUUAUGUACUAACAUCAUCCAUCACAAACACAAUAUCAAUCAGCAAGUUUCUCUGGUCACACAUCUCAAGGAUGUCAACAAAAUUUUCAAUCACUAGGGUUCUCAUCAUAUAUACCUCAAUACUCAUUUCAAGUCUCUUCUACCUCAAAUGUUUUUUAUGGUCCCUCACAAAUGUUUGCCACCAUUUUCAACACUCCACCAUGUGCAUAUAAUCUAGCACCAUCGAGUUCUUGUUAUCGUCCAUCAUUACCUACUCAAAUGUGUGACAUGGGUCAUGAAGAUGAGGAGGAUGAUGAUGAUAACAACAAUAACAACGAUGAUGAUGAUAAUGGUGAUGAUGAUGAUAACGGUGGUCAUCAUGUUCCUCAACAACAACACACAAUUACACAUGAGCAUCCUAGAACAAGAGGAGGUAGAGGCCGUAGAUCAAGAGGACAACAAACAAGACAAAUCCAGUCCAACAAGAUGAGAGACCGAGACGCAUAUCUAGAAGAACUUGGGACAUCGUCUCAUUAUUAGUUUAACAAAUAUGUAAUUUUUAUUUAAAUAUAAUCAAUUUUUAAACUAAAGUCUUUCAAAUUUUUAAUAUUUCAUUUUAAUUUUUUUUACGUAUUUUUGUUCAUAGAUUAUUUAAACUUUAAAUAAAAACAUUUAAAUAAAACUAUAUUAAAAAUAUAUAUAACAUGUUUUAAAUAAUAAAACAUUAAAAUAAAUUAAUAACAUAUAAAUAAAAUCAUAAAAAAAUAUACUAAUAAAUAAGUCAACUUAAUAUUAUUUAUUAUAUAUUUAAAUAUUUUUUUUUAUUUUUUUUAAAUUAAAAGUUAAACCGUAAACAAUUGCAAAUUAAAAAAGAAACAGGUUUACAA